rnacentral:pre_miRNA from 1 species
GGGGGGAGGUCGGAUCCUGGGCUCAGUCCCCAGCGACCUGUGCUCCCGGGCCUGCUCUGUUGAGAUUCGUGCUCCCUGCCACCGAGCAGCCCCCU